GUUAAAAGUGUCAAAAAUGCAAAAUUAGAACCGAGAAAGAAGCUUUAAGAAUUAAAUUCGGAAAGGAAGUAACAAAGGGUCUUCUAGCCGAGGUUGUAAUCCGCGAGGUUUAGUUGGCACGAGACCCGUGUUCGAUCCCUGGCGCCUCCGAAAUUCUGAAUUUUUUAUCUGUGCGAAGCGAGGCUGAUUCUUGCGAGGCUGCUGCUUGCGAGGCCAAGGUGCGAGGCCAGAAUUAAAUUCGGAAAGGAAGUAACAAAGGGUCUUCUAGCCGAGGUUGUAAUCCGCGAGGUUUAGUUGGCACGAGACCCGUGUUCGAUCCCUGGCGCCUCCGAAAUUCUGAAUUUUUUAUCUGUGCGAAGCGAGGCUGAUUCUUGCGAGGCUGCUGCUUGCGAGGCCAAGGUGCGAGGCCAAGAACUCAGAAGCCGGAAACGUGUGAGACCGAGCCGCAAACUGCUGAGCCGUAUACUCCGAGCCGAGGCCGCAAACUCCGAGCCGCAAACCUCGGGCCGUGAACUCCUCGGAAACCCUAGCUGCUGGCCGCCACCCCCUCGCAGGUUACGACCAAAAACAGUGAUUUUUGCCCUUUUUUGCUCCAAAACUCGAUCAAAAACCUUUUUUUAUGAAAAACACGAAGAACAAACCCCCCUUAUUUUUCAGAGAUCUAUCCAAAAACGCAAGAAUAUUUCGAAAAUAAGAUCAAAUAAUGCUCCAAAUCUGACAAAAUUGACUGAUACAACCAGGCUCUGAUACCAAUUGUAAGUUCCUAAUUUGCCUGU
rnacentral:lncRNA from 1 species